GAUGAACGCUAGCGGCAGGCCUAAUACAUGCAAGUCGAACGGUAACAUGAGUAGCAAUACUUGAUGACGAGUGGCGCACGGGUGCGUAACGCGUAUGCAAUCUACCUUUAACUGGUGAAUAGCCCGAAGAAAUUCGGAUUAAUACACCAUAGUAUAUUAGAGUAGCAUUACUUUAAUAUUAAAACUACGGUGGUUAAAGAUGAGCAUGCGUGACAUUAGCUAGUUGGUGAGGUAACGGCUCACCAAGGCUACGAUGUCUAGGGGAUCUGAGAGGAUUAACCCCCACACUGGUACUGAGACGAGGGACAGACUCCGUACGGAGGCAGC
rnacentral:rRNA from 1 species